CCCUGGGGGCAGUGUACUUGCUUUCCAAGUUGCCAAGUUGAUUAUCCGGGACUACUGGUGUGUUCUUCUACUUCCCGACAAGAACCAGAAAACCUUCCCACUCAAAAUUCCAGAAUGUAUAAUGUGCUGCGAAUCAGGUCCCAGGGAGUGGAGAAGAAGCUGAGAAUCCUAAUAGAAAACGAGACAGGAAGGCUACCUAAACUGUAAUAGAUUUUCCUGAAGCAAAUUUCAGUUGGGGGAGCAAUAAGCAUUU